GAUGAACGCUGGCGGCGUGCCUAAUACAUGCAAGUCGAGCGAACAGACGAGGAGCUUGCUCCUCUGACGUUAGCGGCGGACGGGUGAGUAACACGUGGAUAACCUACCUAUAAGACUGGGAUAACCUCGGGAAACCGGAGCUAAUCCCGGAUAAUAUAUUGAACCGCAUUGUUCAAUAGUGAAAUACGGCUUUGCUGUCACUUCUAGAUGGAUCCGCGCCGCAUUAGCUAGUUGUUAAGGUAAUGGCUUACCACGGCAACGAUGGGUAGCCGACCUGAGAGGGUGAACGGCCACACUGGAAGUGAGACACGUUCCAGAGUCCUACGGGAGGCAGCAGUAGGGAAUCUUCCGCAAUGGGCGAAAGCCUGACGGAGCAACGGCGCGUGAGUGAUGAAGGUCUUCGGAUCGUAAAACUCUGUUAUUAGGUAAGAACAAAUGUGUAAGGAACUAUGCACGUCUUGACGGUAACUAAUCAGAAAGCCACGGCUAACUACGUG
rnacentral:rRNA from 1 species